CGGACGUGGAUAACCUGCCUCACACAGGGGAGUAACAGUUGGAAACGACUGCUAAUACCGCAUAAGCGCACAGCACCGCAUGGUGCAGUGUGGAAAACUCCGGUGGUGUGAGAUGGAUCCGCGUCUGAUUAGCUUGUUGGCGGGGUAACGGCCCGCCAAGGCGACGAUCAGUAGCCGGCCUGAGAGGGCGACCGGCCACAUUGGGACUGAGACACGGCCCAG
rnacentral:rRNA from 1 species